CCAGAGAACUUAGCAGAGAUGCUUUGGUGCCUUCGGGAACUCUGAGACAGGUGCUGCAUGGCUGUCGUCAGCUCGUGUUGUGAAAUGUUGGGUUAAGUCCCGCAACGAGCGCAACCCUUAUCCUUUGUUGCCAGCGGUUCGGCCGGGAACUCAAAGGAGACUGCCGGUGAUAAACCGGAGGAAGGUGGGGAUGACGUCAAGUCAUCAUGGCCCUUACGGCCAGGGCUACACACGUGCUACAAUGGCGCAUACAAAGAGAAGCGACCUCGCGAGAGCAAGCGGACCUCAUAAAGUGCGUCGUAGUCCGGAUUGGAGUCUGCAACUCGACUCCAUGAAGUCGGAAUCGCUAGUAAUCGUAGAUCAGAAUGCUACGGUGAAUGCGUUCCCGGGCCUUGUACACACCACCCGUCACACCAUGGGAGUGGGUUGCAAAAGAAGUAGGUAGCUUAACCUUCGGGAGGGCGCUUACCACUUUGUGAUUCAUGACUGGGGUGAAGUCGUAACAAGGUAGGCGUAGCGAG
rnacentral:rRNA from 1 species